CCCCAGCGCUGCCGCCUAAACCCCCCAAGGCAAAGCCGGCCCCUACAGGCCUGGCCAAUGGAGGGAGCCCACCCUCCCUGCAGGAUGCUGAGUGGUACUGGGGGGACAUUUCAAGGGAGGAGGUGAACGAGAAACUCCGGGACACUCCUGAUGGCACCUUCCUAGUCCGAGAUGCUUCUAGCAAGAUCCAGGGCGAGUACACGCUGACCCUCAGGUGGGGGCCUGUCCCUGCAAGGAUAGAUGGGGGUCACAGGUCAUGGAGACUGGGAGUUCAGAGGGGAUAGAACAUGUGCGGUUUCAAGAAUGGGGGGCCAGGCACGGUGGCUUACACCUGUUAUCCCAGCACUUUGGGAGGCUGAGGCUGGCAGAUCACCUGAGGUCAGGAGUUUAAAACCAGCCUGGCCAACAUGGUGAAACCCCGUCUC
rnacentral:sRNA from 1 species